rnacentral:rRNA from 1 species
GAUGAACGCUGGCGGCGUGCCUAAUACAUGCAGGUCGAGCGAACGGACGAGAAGCUUGCUUCUCUGAUGUUAGCGGCGGACGGGUGAGUAACACGUGGAUAACCUACCUAUAAGACUGGGAUAACUUCGGGAAACCGGAGAUAAUAACGGAUAAUAUUUUGAACGGCAUGGUUCAAAAGUGAAAGACGGUCUUGCCGUCACAUUUAGCUGGAUCCGCGCUGCAUUAGCUAGUUGGUAAGGUAACGGCUUACCAAGGCAACGAUGCAUAGCCGACCUGAGAGGAUGAUCAGCCACACUGGAACUGAGACACGGUCCAGACUCCUACGGGAGGCAGCAGUAGGGAAUCUUCCGCAAAGGGCGCAAGCCUGACGGAGCAACGCCGCGUGAGUGAUGAAGGUCUUCGGAUCGUAAAACUCUGUUAUUAGGGAAGAACAUAUGUGUAUUUAACUGUGCACGUCUUGACGGUACCUAAUCAGAAAGCCACGGCUAACUACGUG